rnacentral:rRNA from 1 species
AUUGAACGCUGGCGGCAUGCCUUACACAUGCAAGUCGAACGGCAGCAUGGAAGAGCUUGCUCUUCUGAUGGCGAGUGGCGAACGGGUGAGUAAAGCAUCGGAACGUACCGUGUAGUGGGGGAUAACGUAGCGAAAGUUACGCUAAUACCGCAUACGCACUGAGGUGGAAAGCAGGGGAUCGCAAGACCUUGCGCUAUACGAGCGGCCGAUGUCAGAUUAGCUAGUUGGUAGGGUAGAGGCCUACCAAGGCGACGAUCUGUAGCGGGUCUGAGAGGAUGAUCCGCCACACUGGGACUGAGACACGGCCCAGACUCCUACGGGAGGCAGCAGUGGGGAAUUUUGGACAAUGGGGGAAACCCUGAUCCAGCCAUGCCGCGUGAGUGAAGAAGGCCUUCGGGUUGUAAAGCUCUUUCGGCUGGGAAGAAAUCGCACAGGCUAAUACUCUGCGUGGAUGACGGUACCAGCAUAAGAAGCACCGGCUAACUACGUGCCAGCCGCCGCCGUAA